UACGUAGGAGGCAAGCGUUGUCCGGAAUUACUGGGCGUAAAGCGCGUGUAGGUGGUGGGACAAGUCUGCUGUGAAAGCGCCUGGCUUAACCGGGCGAGGUCGGCGGAAACUGUCCGACUCGAGGACGGUAGAGGGGGGUGGAAUUCCCGGUGUAGCGGUGAAAUGCGCAGAUAUCGGGAAGAACACCCAUGGCGAAGGCAGCUCUCUGGGACGGUACUGACGCUGAGACGCGAAAGCGUGGGGAGCGAACAGG
rnacentral:rRNA from 1 species